rnacentral:lncRNA from 1 species
CGACAAAAUAUUUCGACUAACAGGGUGAGUUCCAGAUAGGUAUUCAUGACACCGAUACAAAGUGUGAACAUGAAAGCGACACGUCUUACGGUUUAGGCUGCUAACUUCGUCAAAGUUUGGCGGAAGAAUAAUAAUAAUAAUAAUAAUAAUAAUAAUAAUAAUAAUAAUAAUAAUAAUAAACAGAAGAAAUACAGUAAGGUCUUUCCCUUUUGUAAAAGGAAAGACCUUAAUAAUAAUAAUAAUAAUAAACAGAAGAAAUACAGUAAGGUCUUUCCUUAUAGAAAAAGGAAAGACCUUAAUAAUCAGAAGAAAUACAGUAAGGUCUUUCCUUAUAGAAAAAGGAAAGACCUUAAUAAGUAAAAAAGAU